rnacentral:lncRNA from 1 species
GGGAGAUGUCUCCAAAUGAUGGAGUGAUUAAAGCUCACGUUCUGAUUUGCAGUUUUACCAUCAGAGUGAGUACAUCCUUGGAACUUUGGGCAGCAUUGCAGAAAGGAUCAAUAAAGUCUGACUGGCAAGCUCCGGUGCUUGUACCGCUUCCUGGAGGCCCCAGCCCUUGGCAGCCUAGAUGGGACCCCAGGGUCUGCGAGGCUCAGCUGUGGACUCCUCUUUUGUCACAAAGUGUGAUCGAAGAUACUGUGAAUGCUGCUGUCAAGUUCCAUCCAACAGAAAGGCAGUGUGAAAGCCUCAUGGUGUGUCCCCAUCCAGCCCAUCCACCGUACUCACCAGACCUGGCACUGCGUGGCUUCUGCUCUGCCCUGAAAUCAGAAUGACCGUGAAAGGUAUUGAAUCAAUUUAGAAAAUCGACACAGCCAGGGCAGUGCAACUAAAGACUCACAGAAGAGACUUCCAGAAAUGUUUGAGAAAGUGGCAAAAUGAUGGACCAAGUGUGUUCAAAGUGAGGGGGAGAGUUUGAGAGGGAUUCAUGGCAAUGUGUCUUUCACUGUAAUAAUUUUCUUAAAUAUAAAUGCUCACUGUAUAUUCUGACCACACCUUGUGUGUAGAAAAUAUUUAAAUUGAAGUUCAAAAGAUAAGGCGGUUAACACAGAGGAAACGAUGAUUGAAAAAGUUAGCGGUAAGUAGUAAUUGCAUUUCUUGUCCAUGAUGACCACCGGUCCUGGCUAUGUCUUAUUUAUAGGUAAAAAAUCAGUGACAUUUUUGCAGGGUUCUACCUUGCCUUAACUUUUUCUAUGGUGACCCGCACACAGAGAGUUUUAAGAAGGUCAGAC